rnacentral:lncRNA from 10 species
CUGAUAUAUAGGAUGAUAUCAUGGUGUAAUCCCAGCACUUUGGGAGACCGAGGCAGGCGAAUCAUGAGGUCAAGAGAUGGAGACCAUCCUGGCCAACACGGUGAAACCCCAUCUCUACUAGAAAUACAAAAAUUAGCUGGGUUUGGUGGCACGCACCUAUAGUCCCAGCUACUCGGGAGGCUGAAGCAGGAGAAUCACAUGAACCCGAGAGGCAGAGAAUACGAUACAAGAUCUCUGUAAACCUUCAAUCAAUUUACAUAAAAAGCCAAAUGAUUAGAUAAUAAAGCCAAAAGACGCUAGCACCAGAAAUCAAGUAAAAAAUCAGGACCCAAAAUUAAUUAUUUAUCACCCAACAAAAGAGUCAGUAGCAUGAAAAGAGCUGAGUUCACUGUUGAGUUCUAGACCUUCAGGAGCACAAAAAAAGAGUUGCCAAGAGGCUUCAUUUACUUGAGGUGAGUUCAUUGUGUUAUGAAGGCAGGGUCAGAGCCUACCUGAGUCAUGGUAUGAAGACUGCGAAGGACAAACUGCACCAGACAAUUGAAGAUAUUAUUUUUUUCAGGAUGUUACAACAGAGUUAUUAUACACUUAUAAGUGACUUCGCAAAGAAAAUGAGGGUGGCCUUAUGGGAGUCAUGAGGAAAAAUAGACAUAGGUCUUUUUCUCUGAGUACACAACAACAAAGUAGUCCUUUCCAGUUAGCCAUUUCUCAGAACACAGAGGACUGGAAACAUCUCUCGACCAUUGCUGUUUUCUAGUGAUACAAGACUGAGAUAAAAUUAAACAUUGUCAGUUUUUUAAUGCCUUCAUGUAAUAUUGAAUUUUUGAUUCUGUAACUUUAUUGACACUGUUUAUUCUUUGAAAGUCCUGUAUGCCCUGACAUAUGAAAGCUUCCUGACAGAACUUUCUUACCUGUAUCUUCUUGGGUUCAGUUUAUCAUAGAACAACUUUAAUAUCAAUGUAAUAACUUUAGUUCACUCACUGAAAACGGAUAGUGUGAAAUCAGACCAAAAGUAAUGCAAUGCAUUUGUCCUGAGAUUUUAUUUUCACAUCAUUUAUUUUUCC